rnacentral:rRNA from 1 species
AGGACGAACGCUGGCGGCGUGCUUAACACAUGCAAGUCGAGCGGAAAGGCCCUUCGGGGUACUCGAGCGGCGAACGGGUGAGUAACACGUGAGCAAUCUGCCCUUAGCUUCGGGAUAGCCCCGGGAAACCGGGAUUAAAUACCGAAUACGACCUCGGCCGACAUCGGCCUUGGUGGAAAGUUUUUCGGCUAGGGAUGAACUCGCGGCCUAUCAGCUUGUUGGUGGGGUAAUAGCCUACCAAGGCGACGACGGGUAGCCGGCCUGAGAGGGCGACCGGCCACACUGGGACUGAGACACGGCCCAGACUCCUACGGGAGGCAGCAGUGGGGAAUAUUGCGCAAUGGGCGAAAGCCUGACGCAGCGACGCCGCGUGGGGGAUGAAGGCCUUCGGGUUGUAAACCCCUUUCAGCAGGGACGAAGCGAGAGUGACGGUACCUGCAGAAGAAGCGCCGGCUAACUACGUGCCAGCAGCCGC